rnacentral:rRNA from 1 species
GACGAACGCUGGCGGCGUGCUUAACACAUGCAAGUCGAACGGAAAGGCCCUGCUUUUGUGGGGUGCUCGAGUGGCGAACGGGUGAGUAACACGUGAGUAACCUGCCCUUGACUUUGGGAUAACUUCAGGAAACUGGGGCUAAUACCGGAUAGGAGCUCCUGCUGCAUGGUGGGGGUUGGAAAGUUUCGGCGGUUGGGGAUGGACUCGCGGCUUAUCAGCUUGUUGGUGGGGUAGUGGCUUACCAAGGCUUUGACGGGUAGCCGGCCUGAGAGGGUGACCGGCCACAUUGGGACUGAGAUACGGCCCAGACUCCUACGGGAGGCAGCAGUGGGGAAUAUUGCACAAUGGGCGGAAGCCUGAUGCAGCAACGCCGCGUGCGGGAUGACGGCCUUCGGGUUGUAAACCGCUUUCGCUUGUGACGAAGCGUGAGUGACGGUAAUGGGUAAAGAAGCACCGGCUAACUACGCG